rnacentral:rRNA from 1 species
GUGGCCUUCCGUAGGGUGACCUGCGGAGGGAUCAUUA